rnacentral:rRNA from 1 species
CCCCUUAGAUGUUCUGGGCUGCACACGUGCUACACUGGCAGGUUCAGCGAGCUUCAUGCCCUGAUCUGAAAGGAAUGGGAAAUCUUUUCAAAACCUGCCGUGCUUGGGAUAGAUGUUUGCAAUUAUUCAUCUGCAACGAGGAUUGCCUUGUAAGCGCACGUCAUCAGCGUGCAUUGAAUACGACCCUGUAUUCUGUACACACCGCCCGUCGCUCCUACCGAUUGAAGUUUUCGGUGAGUUGACAGGAGGAUUUUUUUGAAACUGGUUCGCCAGUGGAUUUUAGAUCCAAAUGCCAACGAAUCGAUGGCUUUAGAGGAAGGAGAAGUCGUAACA